UACGGAGGGGGCUAGCGUUGUUCGGAAUUACUGGGCGUAAAGCGCGCGUAGGCGGAUCUGCAAGUCGGGGGGGAAAUCCCUCGGCUUAACCGAGGAACUGCCGUCCAAACUGCUUCGCUUGAGUCCGGGAGAGGUGAGUGGAAUUCCCAGUGUAGCGGUGAAAUGCGUAGAUAUCAAGUGGAACACCAGUGGCGAAGGCGGGUCUCUGGACAGUUCCUGACACUGAGGCACGAAGGCCAGGGGAGCAAACGGG
rnacentral:rRNA from 1 species